rnacentral:tmRNA from 1 species
GGGGAUGUAAAGGUUUCGACAGGGGCGAGUGUGGUAUAGAUAGCGAGUCGGCGUUCCAUUGGGCCGUUAAACGGUGGGAAAACAUUUAAACGCAGAAGAAAAUUUUGCAUUAGCUGCAUAAGCUACGUCCCUCAUACUUGUGCCUACCAAGUGUGAAUGGUAGGCGAGACAACAUGAACUGGAGUACUGUAGUUUGUCUGUGAGCGAUAGGUACUUGAGAUUUAAAUCAUAGACUGUGCUCGGAGAGGUCUAUAUGGCAACGCUUUUGGACAGGAGUUCGACUCUCCUCAUCUCCACCA